CUUCUCGGUUUUAGUGUUCAGAGAAUGACCUGAACUUAGCUAUGUUAAGUUACCUGCUCCACAGGAAACCACCUCUGUAACUGUUGCUUGUGCUUUCUCUUUAGGCAACACCCAAAGCCACUGUCAGAUGUCAUGGGAAUGAGACCUCACAAGGCCUCGUGGCUUACUCCCUCAAGUCAUUCAGGUUUCUGAUCAAAUACCUCCUCAGAGAGCUCUUCCCUGGCCACCCCCUUCAAAGUACUAAAGAGCAUGUUCAAUAUAAGAUUAAUGUAAAAUGAGUCCCGGCUCCAGGCAAAGUGAGUUCAUACCCUUUCCUUUAUUUUAUUCUCUAAUACCUUUACUCACAGCUUUUAUAUAGUAGCCACUGUCUGACAACUACAAGUUUAUAUAUUUGUUUGUUUUCCUGAAAACUACCGCUCAAGUAAAUUUGUCAAAAAUUAGAAGUAACCGUCUGAUUGUCAUUUUGUUUAGUAAGUUUUAUGUUUUGCUAACAGACUUGUUUAUCAUUGAAUAGAUAUGACUUCUAAGCUGUUAAGAAUUCCAUAUUAUGUUGACCUGUGUCUUCCAAGUCCAGUUGGAGUUAGCGAAGAAACUGAGGUAGGCAAAGCUGCUUUGGCUCCAAGAGGAAAAAUAGUUUUUAUUUCAUGAAAAUGCAAAUAAUUAAGGAGGUGGGAGCUAAAAAUAUGUAUAGAGCUAAGACUGUCCAGGAAGAAGUUAGAGAAGAAAAGGAGUAGAAAAUAAAACCAUGCAAAUUCACAAUUUAAACAGAGAAGAAAAACUCAGAAACCGAAAAGAGAUAAUCUGGAAAGUAAAAGGAAGUAACAUCUCAGAUGACAAAAAAGGGGGGAAUUGUGAAAAGAAUGGAGCCAUCCGCAUUAUCCAUUGUUGCAGAAAGCUCAAGUAGCUGGAAAACAGAACAGGGUUUAGGGAUGCUAGCCACUGACAAUUCAUGGUGGCCUUUUAGAAAGCAGUCUUAGAAGACUGACGUGGCUGCAAGGAUGGGAUGUGGAGCCAGUGAGUAUAAAGUGACUCGAAAGUGUUGAGUGAGAAGCUGAAAGAGACAGAGUACAUAGUCCGAGCAGGAAGGAAGAUUGAGGCAAGAGAUGCAUUUGAUUUUCCAGUUUUUGAAAAGAGAAUUCCAUUUCUGAUAUAAAUACAUGGAUUUAAUCUGAAAUGUUUCUGUAUUAUUUAGAAGGUUUCAGGGCUGUAGCUUUAAGAUGACAUAGUAGAAAUAAACAGACAAAAUUAACUUAGCCACUUGAAAGAAUUUACACUAAGCUUAAAUACAAAAUUGUAGUCACUUUUAAACUCUCACAAGGUUAAUUUAGGAUGUACUGGCACGUGUUUCAUAAAUAAUAAUUAAAAUGACAAAUUUCCACAUCUUUAUUUCUGUGAAUAUUUAAUAUUUUAUGUUCUAUUGAUGACAUAUGCCAUCUAUAAUGCUGUUAUUUUAAUGUUAAGUUAGAACUCAUUGUAUCUUCAGAAUAUGCUAGCAUAUUUCAUAGAAAUCCAAGAAAUAUUUUCAUUAUUAUAGAGAAUUUUGAAUGGAACUUUUAUAAAUACUAACAUGGGGGGGGAAGGACAACUCCUAUAAAUUUGCAUCAAUAAUAAUUGUAAAUAUCCUGAACUUAUGAAGAGAAACAAGUAUGAAAAAUCAUGAAAAUAGUGAAGUUACAAACUAUUGUGAAUGGAUCUGUAGUCCUACUGGUUCAGCCUGUAGUGAACAAAAUUAUUAGAUGUUUCACUUGAUAUUGUAUUUAAACCACCUAAAAAAAAAAAAAACUGAACAGUUUACCAUGACCUGCUUCAUCCUAAACUUCUACAUUUUGGUGUUCUCUUAAGGCAGUAUCCUAGGUCACCUCUCUUUUCUGACUAAUCUGUCCCAGGUGAUUUCAUUCAUUCCCAAGGUUUGAAGUAUCAUCUAUACAUUGAUUACUACCAAAUUUAUAUUUCUAGCAAACCCCUCUUCUCUAAACGCAUAUAUCAACUUCUUCCUCCUUCCUCUCCACCUCCUCCUCCUGUUCUGCUUCCUCCUGAUUCUCUGCCUUCUUUUCCUUGUAACAGCUUAAUUGAAGAAUAAUUGACAUAUAAUAAACUGCACAUAUUUAAAGUGUACAACUUGGUAAGUUUUUACAUAUGUAUUCACCCAUAAAACCAUCACUACAAACAAAAGAGUGAACAUAAUGAUCACCCCACAAGUUUCCUCAUGCCUUUUGUAAUUCCUCCCAUUCCCCUGCCCCAUCAUGAGUCCCUAGGCAUCCAAAAAUCUGCUUUCUGUAUACACUGGUUUACAUAUUCUAGAAUUUUAUAAAAAUGGAAUAAUUUGAUAAAUGAAUGAAAUGUUUUCAUACUAUUUUGAAGGUUUCAAGGCUAUCUAUAGCUUUAAUAUUACAAACUGCAAAAUACAAAGAUACAAUAUUAAACAGCCAUUUGAAAUAGUAUUUUAAUCAUUCUGUUUAUGGCUUUUUUUCUUCAACCCAUGUUUUCAUAGUAUUUUGAAGAUUUCAAGGCUAUCUGCAGCUUUAAUAUUAAAAACUGCAAAAUACAAAGAUACAAUAUUAAACAGCCAUUUGAAAUAGUAUUUUAAUCAUUCUGUUUAUGGCUUUUUUUCUUCAACCCAAUUAUUCUGAGAUUCAUCCAUGUUGUCGCAUGUGUUAUUGAAUGUAGUUCACUCGUUUUCGCUGCUGAGUAGUAAUAUCUUAUUGCAUGACUAUACCACAAUUUGUUUACUCAUUCAUCUGUUGGUGGGCAUUUGAGUUGUUUCCAGUUUGGGGCUAUUACAAAUAAAGCUGCUAUGAACAUCUGCAUAUGAGCCUUUGUAUGGACAUAGGUUUUGAUUUCUCUGGGGUAAAUACCUAAAACUGGAGUGGCUGGAUCAUAUGGUAGGUAUAUGUUUACAUUUUUAGGAAGCUGCCAAAUUGUUUUUUAACAUAGUUGUAGUAUUUUUUCAUUCUCACUACCAGUGUAUGAAACCUCUAGCUGUUCUCCAUCCUUGCGACACUUGCUAUGGUCAGUACUGUAAUUUUAAUUCUAAUAAGUGUGUACUGUUAGUGUCCUGGUUUUAAUUUAUAUAUCCCUAGUAACAAAUGAUGUUGAGUAUCUUAUCUGUGCUUAUUUGCUAUCUGUAUUCAUUUUUGGAGAAGUAUUUGUUCAAAUCAUCUCCCUGUUUUUAAAUUGGGUUGGUUGUUUCUUAAUAUUGAGUUUUGAGAAUAUGUAAUAUAGUUUUUUGGGGGAGAUACAUGUUCUCUGGCAGAUAUAUACUUUGUAAAUAUUUUCUUCCAGUCUGUGGCCUGUUCAUUUAUUCUCUUAACAGUGUCUUUAAAAGAGCAGGCAUAUUCAAUUUUGCUGAAGUAUAAUUUACCAGUUUUCUGUUUGCUGUAUCAUGCUUUUGGCAUAAUAUCUAAAAAUUGUUUGUCUAAACUAGGGUCAAAAAGAUUUUCUCUAUAUUUCCUUACAGAAGUUUUAUAGUUUUAUGCUCUGCAUUUAGGUCUACAAUCCAUUUUCAAUUAAUUUAGGUAUAUGGUAUGAGGUAUAGAUCAGUUUAUUUUCCCACAUAUGGAUAUAUAAUUGUUCCAAAACCAUUUUUUGAAAGACUAUUCUUUCUCAGUUGAAUUGCCUUUUGACCUUUGCCAAAACAGCAGUUGUCUAUGUAUAUGUAGGUCUGUUUCUGUACUCUCUGUUCUAUUCCAUUGAUCUAUUUGGGUAUUUUGAUGUCAAAACUAUGCUGCCUUGAUUACUAUAGAUUAUAUCCAUCUUAAAAUUAGGUACUAUUAGUGU